UUUGAAGCAUCUCCAUGUUUCUUGAGUAUUGUUUCAAAUGUUCUGCUUAAUGGGUAGCAUGGGGUUAAAUGUGACAUUACAACUUAACUCAAAAGAAUAUCCUCUGUACGCUGUACACUUUUGCCUAUUUAUACUCAAUAAAUAUCCUGGUUCAUAGGUGAACUGACAUUUCAGGAUGCAUAUUUCCUCGUGGUAGCUGUGCUUCUGUGUGUAUAGUAUGCAAAUAGAUUUUCGUUAUGAUAUUUGUAUAUGCCUUUUUUGUGAGCAGAAGUGAUACAAAACUGGAAAAGAAAAAGCCCAGGCCCAGUUUUAGCUCUUUAAGUAUUCUGACUAAGGUUUCACUGUAUUAAUUGUUCUGUCGUAUUUUUUCUCAGAGUUUACAUGGUUUAAAAAAAACAAGAAGAAAAAAAAAAAGAUUUUACUGUACUCUGAAUUUUGUGGGUUUUAAAAAGCAUUAUGAGAGAGCCAGGUAUUAACAUUUCAUUCAUUUUCAGCUGAAUGUGUGUUAUUUUAAGCCUUUGCGUUUGAGGUAAUACUGCAAAUGGAAGUUGCUGUUGUUGUGGCAGCUGCUGGUUACUAAGGCACCAUACCCAUACAAGAUAACUGUCCAGAAUAUCUGCUUGCACUGCACGCAGUCUGGGCCCUGGAAUUUGUAAUAGAUAAAUAAAUCUUUUACCAGUGUCCCUUUGCUUGGGUUUUUCUUUGGGAGUCCCUUGUGACUAAGUUAACUUUUGGAACUGGGUGUUUGAGAUGCGCUGCUUGUGCUGGGAGGAUGGGCAGUAUCCACCUUUCUCUUAUUUUCAAAAAAAAAAAAAAAAAGUGCUUUGGAAAAAUUUCAGCAUGUGCUUUUUCCCCUCUUACUUCUUAAGCUCUGUGAGCAGUGAAAUAGUUAUUUCUUUUAAAGGUUAACAGUGUUGAAAUUGGCUAUCUAAGUUGAGUCUUAUCUACUUUAAAUAAUUUCUGUCACAAGUUUUUCUUAAAUGCAAUUUUGCCACCUCCCUGAAUAACACAGGCUAGGCAAAACUUCUUUUGGCAUAGCUUUAUCUACAUGGCGUGUUUUGUUGGCUUAGUUGACUUAGGGUGUGAUGCUGCCCCCACAUACACCUUGAGCAGAUACAGUAUUGUUCCACUGGGAAAUUAUUGUGCAGCAGAUGUGGCUCAAGUCCUAAGAAAUAAAUAUUCCAAGAGGUGUAAAGCCAUUUUUUACCUUAUAAGUGAAGGUAAACAGUGCAGUAAGGCCAUGAUUUUGUAGCUAUUAUAGUGACCACACAAAUUAAGAAAAAGUCAAUAGAGUGAGCAGAGCCAAGGUGUUUGUAAUGGCAUAUGGAGGCUGGGUUUAGUUCUGCCCAAUAAAAUCACUAGAUCACCACAUAUUAGCACCAGCUCAUUGUUUUGCCUGCUCGUUCACAUGCCCUUAGAAACUGAACAUCAAUUUCACAUUUGAAACAUUGGUUGUACUCACCUUACUUGCUCCUCUGAAAAUGUGGAGAAGCAGGGAAUGGAAAAUACAUAAAAAAGAUACUGCAUCAUUUUCCAUAAUUCCUUGUUUUUAUGCCUUCUUUAGAACUGGAAGGCUAUAAUUUUUUUAAAGGGAUUUCUAUCUUUUCACUGUUAUUUCUAACAGCGAACUUGCCAUCAGUGGUCUGCCUACAGCAACUUCUCUUCCACACUAGAGCUGCUUCCAAGAGGGAAGGAAGCCCAAAGUGUGACCUCUGUGUAUUUAUAGCAAAGACAAAAGAGAGACGUGUUUUAAGGCAUGACAAAAAUGUUUGGUCAAUUUGAAUAUGUUGCUCUUAUAAGUGAACCUUCUUUUAUGGCAGACCCAGGACCUACUGUUAAUGGCAGAUAGGCUUCUUGUCAAUCUAUUGUUCAUUUUAAAUUAUUCUGAAUUCCCUGCAUUUCAGACUUUCUAAGAGUCUUGCGAAAGUUGGGUUUAUGAUUAUUAUUAUGAUUAUUAAUUAUUUUAUUUAUAGCCCUAGUGAAGUCCUAGGAGAAGUCAGCAGCUGUAGGUUAAAAGCUUUCAAAUAUUUCAUCAACCACUACUCUGCCUCUGCUAACUUUUAGCUACUUCUGCUAAUAUAUGCUAAGUCUGGAAUUACAGAAGUGCGGUGGAGUCAAGAUGGAGGCACGCUGACAGAAACCUGAAGCAACACUUCAUCCCUUUGUAAUUUACAGCCCUGACAGACUGCAGAGAGGCAUCUCUUUCCCCCUGUAGCAAAUGAAAAGGUUAACAAAAUUCCAGACUGUAGAAGCAAUAGCUAUUGUAAUUCCAGUUUAAAUACAGUAACUUGUUAAGCCAAGUGGUUAAAAUGGUUACGAUUCCUCAAACAUUUUUAAGUUCUAUCAAUGUUCAUUUUGUCUUGCUCUGUGGACAGCUUUACUGAAGGAGAUCUAUGAUUCAUUUUUGGGAGGAUCCGUAGCCAACUGUUACUAGCUUUGAAAUCCUGGUGCAGUCAUUCCACUAUCAUCACUCUGCUGAGUGAUUAGAGAAUUUCUAUUCAAUUUAUAUAUGGAAACCUGGAGAUGGGGACUUGCCCUGAGAUGAGAAUAUCUUAGUGCAUAAGCCGCUUUUUUUAUUUUAUAUACUUUAUUGAUAAGUACAUUUAUUUCGUACUAGCCAGAAACCAAUCAGUCACAUUUUUACUUUGUUUAAAAGCUGCAGACAUACUUCCAAGCCAUGGCUGUGAACCAGUCAUGGUAGGUUGAGGAGGGGAUGUUAGGCAAAAUCAAACCAAAGCUGAGACUUGAAUGCUGGCCACUAGACUGUGCAGCCUGUUGUGUUACUUAACUGGCACUAGGACCGUGCAGUCGUUGAGACUAGAUGGAGGACAGAAGAGCAGUAAGGAAAUAAUUGUUCAGAUCUUAUUCUUGACAGUUAUGGAUAAGUCUCUUCUAGUCAGAGUAUUUCUCAGUCUCCAAGCAGAAGAUAAGUUGUAGAAGCAGAUCUCUACUGAAAGAAAGAAGCAAAAUCUAGAUCCAAUCUGAGAUCUUUUCUCAGAACCACCAGUAGUGGAAGAGAGGCCAGUCUAGAGAAAAAUAAGACCUGUGAAUUAUCUUGCUUGCUACUGCACUAUGGCUGUAGGGAAAGGCCAGCCAGAUACUCCAGGCAAAGUAGGAACAUAUUCAGCUUUAAUAUUCAAUGGACUGUAGUUUCACUUCGAAUUGUGAUGUUUUUGCUGAGUGGCUGCAUGCACUCUUGUUCUUCUUUGUUUUUCAGGCCCUUAAUGUCAGUGUCAUUUCAUACGCGGCUGUCUUGUCCCUUCUCCCUUGCCAUACCUUGUCUCCUUUGGUUUCUGUGACCCAUGUCCUUCCCUUCACCAAAAAUGAAUCAAUAAAUUCAUGUUGGUAUCUAGUGAUCAUGUUCAUUUUGCUUUGAAGCUAAACCUUCCCUUAGUAUUCACUUUCUGAGAUGAUGAACUCGGGGGAUGGCUACAGCUGUGUUUGUGCAAUGCUUGGCCUUUAAGUAAUCCUGCGAUGAAUAGCGAUAGUCAGUUUGGAACAAAACCCAGAUUUUCCUUUCUCUUCCUCUCUUCUCCUAAAUGAAUUUCAGAGGUGUAAAUUAGUUUUUCUUCCCAAGGGUUUAACAGACUAGAUAUCUUGGUCAUCUCAGCUCUUCUAGUCUUGUUUUGUGACUUGCAUGGAGGAAGAAUGGCAGUACACUCCAAGAAUUCCUGAAUAGCAUGCACAUGUUCUUGCUGUUCGUGAUAAUGUUUUGGUAUCCCAUCGGAACAAAUGCCACAAUUCAAAGGGGUUAUUUAUUUGCCAUUGAGAGAUGCCUCAGUGGUAAUAUGAGCCAUUUUGGUUUCUUAAUUGCCUGAACAUUGUUUGAAGAGGAAAAAAAACCAACAACACAGGAUAAAAAAAGAAGGCUAUGAAAUGAAAGAAGAUGAGUGAGGAGGUUGGAAUAAAAAUCUCAGUGGGACUAGAAUAUGUAAACCAGCAUAUGGGGGAAGAAAGAAUAGUGAGUACAAAUAGCAAGACUGCAAAAACAGAAAGAAGUUGAAAAUUACAGUGGAAGUAAAUUAGAAAAGAAAAGAGAGGGGCCAGACGGAAAGAGUCUGGGAAGCCAGAGUAUUGUGAAAGGGACUGGGCAUGGCAAAACAUACCUUUUUUUUAAAAAAAAAAAGUUGGCAACUUAUAGGUAAAGUUAGCUCAGACGAUGUUAAUUCUGAAAAAUUCAAUGUCUCCUGUACAAAGGGUAGAUUCUGUUUUCACUUGUUUUCUGUAUUUGUCUACUUAAAAGGGGCAAAAAUUUUACAUAUAUUAGACAAAAUACAUAUUUGUUUUAGCUAUAUGUUUUGUUUAAAACAGUUAUAUGACAAGCAUUUUUCUAUGAAGCACUUUUUUUAAAAAAAAUGUAGGCCCAUUUAUAUUUUUUAUUAAACUAAAUGAAAGAGAAAAAAUUAAUAAUACUGAGCUCUUAAGCCAACAUCAACUUCGUGUAGUAACACCUGGAAAAUCCUUAGUCUUAAAACAUAUCACAGUGUAUAAUACCUGCAGUGUUCAUGCAAUGGGACAAAUAGAAACAGGUGAAGUCAGAUGUUCAUUUUAAAGCAUAAAGUAGCACUGAGGUGUGGCCAUGUGCAUGUUUAAAGCAAUUCUCAGCAAGUAAGUGCUUUAGAGCCUGUAGGGUCAUAGUGACACUGCCAGCCUCUGAACUAAGACUAUUUUUGACAACACAGCAGAUCUGUUGAAGUGAUGGUAAAGGGACAUAAGAGAAAUACUAGAGGAGACUUGUUUCAUAUUUUGUGUUGCUUUGUCUUUGGCUGGAAAGGGAGAACAAGAAGCAAUGCAUUGUAAUUGUGGUGGUUUGCUGUGGUGCAGAAAUUUGAAAACCUACUCAAGCUGAAUGUUUUUCAAAUCAACAAAUGUUUGACUUAGGGAAAAAAAAUACAGUAAGUCAUCUCCAGUAAAGUAGAAUUUGCAAGGAAACAUGAGCUUCACUUAAGGAGGGUAUUCAGUAUGUGCAUAACUUAAAGAGCAUAACUAAUCAGAAGUGUCAUUGAAACUAUUCCUGUACUUAAAGAACAUCCUUUAGUAAUUGGCUGGGUCUAAACCAGAAAGAGCAGCAAGCACAACAAAGAACUUAAUGUUUUCUGGUGGAAGUCACAGCAGCUCUUUCAUUUCACUAUAGCGUGUGCAAACUCUUCAAACUGUUUCUCUGCUCUGUGGAUAGUAGAAAGCACUUCCAUAUGAAAUCCACAUGUUAUGUUUUAAUUGACUGUAAAUCCUUUUUUUUUUUAAAGACUGCUGUUUUCAAAGUCUUAAUGUAGUUUGUGCAUACUGUGAGAAGAUUGUAUAUGAAGUCUCCAUUUGUAUGUGUGACUAUAGUUGAUGACAUUAAAGAGUCUGGAUCAAUACCUGAAUUGGUAUGCUCCAAAUGCAUUAGACUGCUCCAAAAGACACAAAACACACUGUGAGUAAACAGAUUAAAAAAGAAAAUCAAAACAAAAGUCAUUCUUACAGGGAUUGAAAAUAGCCUGCUGAGGUGUUUCACUACAAAUAUGUGGCACCUUACAAGUAAUACGGAUAUACACUUCUGUCUUCUUGAUGGGCCUGUAUUAUCUCCAGUUAAUAUGAAGAAACUUCAUUCAAAUUCAUACCAAAUUUCUGAGUGAUGCAGUCCUCAUCUUCCACUGCUCCACAGACAGUGCUUUGUAAGUAAGUAAAUAGAAGUGAUGAUAAGAGAGUGGAAUUCAGCUGGCUAACAUUUACUUCAGUCUAGACGCUCAGGAUCCUGUACUUGCAUGUGUGGAGGGGGGAUUCAAAGGAGAAAGCCUUAUGGAGAAUGCUAGAAUGGGUGCUCUUAAGUAAAAUUUUGAUACAAAAAAUAAUCUAUGAAAACUCCAGGGCUAUUGAGAGGGGAAAAGUUGUUGCACUCCUGAAGAGUUUAAAGAGUAAAUUCUUAUACGUGACCUAAGAAAUAUACUGUAUUACAGUUUUCAAUGGUAAGUGAACCACUGAAUUGACAAUUUUUUUCCCCUUUAAAUUGGGUAAACCGAUCUGAAUGGCAUGCUGCCUGAUCAUUGCUAAUGACAGAGCACUGGGUAAUCGUGCAGUAUGUGCUUGUGUUUCUGUAUGUACUCUUCAGAAUUCCAGUAAGCUUUUGCCCUACUAAAGGGGUUAGUGUAUUUCAGUCCAUUUAAUGAAUUUUUGAAUAAACAAGAUGUGACAGUCAGCUGAUAAGUGUUUAUUCCUAGUAUUUUUGUGUGUAUGCUAUUUACACUAAUGAGGCAUCAGUACUUCAUUGCAGUGGAUGCUGGACAUACAAACAAAGAAUAUAUUCUUUGCCUUCAAAGACCUUAUAGUCAUAAUGUAAGAUAAGAAAUGGAUUUUAACAAAAACAAAGACCAGAAAACACUGUACAACAUAAGGGUGAUAUAAAUCCUUGUAAUGGCAACAUGGAAAUUAUCAGAGAAGAAAAUACUGGCUGUGUGGGACAGUUGGAACAGUGUCAUCUCCAAAGAUCUUGACAUUUCAUUCUGAUGCUUUGUACAAUGACAUUAUAGUAGGGUGUCAAAUACAGGGUUUUAUAAUUAUUCAUAUUGUGGUGUAUAAAAUUUGGAGAAAAACAGAUUUUACCACAUAUAUUUAUUUGUAUUUGUAAGCAUGUGUAUGUAUUUAUUCAUUACAAAUAGAGGGGAGAUCAGGUUUGUGUGUUUGGCCGUAUUUGUUGCUUUUGCUGGCUCUUGGCUUACAUUCGUAAAUGCUGCCUUUUAACCUCACAGGGCUUCUCAUGCUUUUCAUAAGAGCAAAUACAUGCAAAUAUUCUCAUUCUGCAUUAUUUUUCAUUUAGUAACUAAGAUUAUGUUAUGUUUUAGAAAGCUGGGUAAUUGGAUCGAGUAUUUAAUCUUUCAAUUUAAAGGCUUUUUCUGUUGUUGUUCUUUUAAGUAUUUCCUGUAACUAAACAAGAUAGGCAAAGCUAAUAUGCAUAGCUGUAAUACGGAAGGGCAACCUUUUUUAAAAUACUCUCCUUGGUGUGAGUUACAAUAGGUGAGCACAGAAAAGAAGGUGAAUAUGCUGUUUCUGCUGGUGCAGUGGAUAAAUGUGUAGGUGUUUCAAGCCUGGUGUAUUGUUAACUCUCUCAUUUCCUCCAAUGAAUAAAAUGGAUUGCUUGUGAAUGCAAUUCACAGCAGUGAAUGGGCUGCUAUCAGGAGCGUUCUUCUCGUGAAUUGUUAAAAGGGGAGCGAGACGUGAUACAGUGGAAGCUGCAGGCUUUGUAUCAGGAGUGCUACUUUUAGAAAGGCUGAAUCAACAAACUCAUAAUUUGCAAGCGAUCAAAGGACACAUGUUUCUAACCUUGGUAUGUUCUUUUUUUUUUUUUUUUCCUUUCAUCCUUCCACAGUUGUCCUCCAGACUGCAAUGUCAUGUUUUACAGGCUAUGUUUAGUUUCUUCAUUAAAGCUCCAAUGUGAACUACAGGGUUCAAGGUAGUCAGGCCAAAUGAGUGUCUGUUAGAGUCUACAUAUACUUCAGGUUUGUCUGAAAUUCCCCUCAGUUCUACCAUCACUCUAAUAGUUUGUCUGGAGCACUAAACCUAAUCCUUUUGCAUUAAAAUUGGCAGUACAUUAUUUGAUUACAAUACUGGGACUCAGUGUCCACAAAUCCCUAAAAGCAGUGUUUCGUUCAGUUAUGGGUAGUCAGGCUGCUAGGCAGAUUGUCUCUGCAAAUGGUGUCUUUGCAGUGAAGAAAAGGCGGUCUUGGAUUUGUUUGUUUAUUUAUUUAUUUUAGAGCUUUGUGGGUUGACUGUUGGCUCUCAACCAAGGGUGUUUCCUGUUUCUAGUUUUGACUUCUACUAGGGUUGUUUUCAAGCUGCACACUCUGUUGCACUGUAGCUAAAUAGAGUGUGCCAGGCAACAUCAAGAGUACUAUGGAUGCUUUCUGGGUGGUGGCCCUCUAGAGGUUUAGCUUCAGGCAUCUCUCAACUCUUAAGCUGAGUUUAUAUUUUUUUCAAAUAUGAUGUUAGUGAAUAUUGUAUAAAGGUGUUUGUGGUUUGUAGUGGAAUUCAAGCCUCAAAAUCCAAAGCUUCAGAAAAUUUGCAUCCUAUGCAGUCUCACAGAGGCCAGUGUGCAGCAAAUCGUAUUUUAUAGCAUACGGCUGCUGAAGUACCAAAGUUGGGAUAACUACUUCAAGGCAGGCACAUCCGUAUUGAAGUGGACACACUUGGAAAGGUAAGUGACUUAGAGAUUCUAAGUUGUUGAUAAUUUUUAUUGAAUUUUGUAUUUUCAAAAAUAUUUAAUAUAAUGUGGAGAAAUAAUGAGCUUCACAUUAUGUGUACUGAACACAAAUUCUAUGUAAAUGUCAAUAAUUUCUAGUGCAAAUGUUUUUAUAUUUCAUUGAAUUGUGUUUGAAAACAAUAAAUGGAUCAUGUUGACUAAAACCAGGAAUGAAACAGGUUGAUCUAAUACAGUCUUUAAUAAAUUUAAAUGCAAAAAGAAAGAAACCACAUUUUAUAUUAAAAAAAAAAGUUUUCAAUAAUGUUUAAUUUUAGAAAUUUUAUUAAACUGUUAGAAUUGAUGCAAUCUGUUUAGAAAUACAACUUCUGUCUUUCCAGAAGUUAAUCUUUUGUAAUUGCUGUUAUGAUUGAGCUUUUAAUUUUAGUAGCUCCUGUUACCUUCUGCAAUCCCUUCAAAUUAAAAAAAAAUAAAUCUGGAGCUGUAAAUCUCACAGAAUUGGAUUUAAUGGAUUAAAAAUUAGAAUAUUAGUGGAUGAGUUGCCCUUUUUUAUGACAAUAUUUUAAGAUGCUUAUUUUCACCUUGCAUAUCCUGAAAUGCUUCUAUCUGCAGUAAAAUUAUAACUUAACAUAAAAAAUGUUACUUUAUGUUUGCAGAAAAUGGCAAAAAGAAUGGCACAAUGACUGUCUUCAUUAUUGUAAGAGGAAAAAAUGCAUGGGAACUGUAUCAAGGUUGGUGGAUCAAACCUGAAUUGAGUCUACAUUACAUUGAAAAGAAGCUAAGUCAAGAAAAGGCCAUGGUGGUGAUGUUUCUCUUGCUGUAUCCCAAUAGCUGCUAAUUUAUAGAAUAGAUUGACAUAUAUUGUAGACAAUUAUAAUGGAAAUACAAGGAGUACAAUAGCCAUAAAAUGUACGAGGGUAGAGGAGUAUAUGUGGCCUGGGUAGAUGGCAUUUUAUAUUGUUCAAUAAACAUCAGUUGAAGUGUC